rnacentral:rRNA from 1 species
AUCGAACGCUGGCGGCAUGCUUUACACAUGCAAGUCGAACGGCAGCACGAAAGAGCUUGCUCUUUUGGUGGCGAGUGGCGAACGGGUGAGUAAUGCAUCGGAACGUACCGAGUAAUGGGGGAUAACUGUCCGAAAGGAUAGCUAAUACCGCAUACGCUUUGAGAAGGAAAGUGGGGGCUCUUCGGACCUCACGUUAUUCGAGCGGCCGAUGUCUGAUUAGCUAGUUGGUGGGGUAAAGGCCUACCAAGGCGACGAUCAGUAGCGGGUCUGAGAGGAUGAUCCGCCACACUGGGACUGAGACACGGCCCAGACUCCUACGGGAGGCAGCAGUGGGGAAUUUUGGACAAUGGGCGCAAGCCUGAUCCAGCCAUGCCGCGUGUCUGAAGAAGGCCUUCGGGUUGUAAAGGACUUUUGUUAGGGAAGAAAAGGAUAGUGUUAAUACCAUUAUCUGCUGACGGUACCUAAAGAAUAAGCACCGGCUAACUACGUG